rnacentral:rRNA from 1 species
AUUACCUCAGUAACGGCGAGUGAAGCGGUAACAGCUCAAAUUUGAAAUCUGGCUCUUUCAGGGUCCGAGUUGUAAUUUGUAGAAGAUGCUUCGGGUGUGGCUCCGGUCUAAGUUCCUUGGAACAGGACGUCAUAGAGGGUGAGAAUCCCGUAUGUGACUGGUUGCCUUCGCCCAUGUGAAGCUCUUUCGACGAGUCGAGUUGUUUGGGAAUGCAGCUCUAAAUGGGAGGUAAAUUUCUUCUAAAGCUAAAUAUUGGCCAGAGACCGAUAGCGCACAAGUAGAGUGAUCGAAAGAUGAAAAGCACUUUGGAAAGAGAGUUAAACAGUACGUGAAAUUGUUGAAAGGGAAGCGCUUGCAACCAGACUUGCCUGCCGUCGAUCAUCCUCCGUUUUCGGUGGUGCACUCGGCGGUGGUCAGGCCAGCAUCGGUUUCGGUGGUGGGAUAAAGACCUUAGGAAUGUGGCUCCUCUCGGGGAGUGUUAUAGCCUUCGGUGCAAUGCCGCCUACUGGGACCGAGGACCGCGCUUCGGCUAGGAUGCUGGCGUAAUGGUUGUAAGCGACCCGUCUUGAAACACGGACCAAGGAGUCUAACAUCUAUGCGAGUGUUUGGGUGUUAAACCCAUACGCGUAAUGAAAGUGAACGGAGGUGAGAACCCUUUAGGGUGCAUCAUCGACCGAUCCUGAUGUCUUCGGAUGGAUUUGAGUAAGAGCAUAGCUGUUGGGACCCGAAAGAUGGUGAACUAUGCCUAAAUAGGGUGAAGCCAGAGGAAACUCUGGUGGAGGCUCGCAGCGGUUCUGACGUGCAAAUCGAUCGUCAAAUUUGGGGUAUAGGGGGCGAAAGACUAAAUUCGAAACCAUU